GUUUAACAAAACGCUACCGUUUGCUAACAUUCUGUUUAUCGCUACGAGGUUAAGGCUAAAACCCUAGUCCCACAUUCGGACGAUGUUCAUCCGUCACCGUGCUUCUGGGGCUCUGGUUCGGUUGCUUGUUUAAUUCCAGGAAGAAAUUCUAUGUUGUUCUUUAUGUUUCAUUCUCUAGUUCUUCACUGUUGAUGGUUAGAAAGCGUAGCACAAUAGUCAAGUCUGUAUCUUUCAGGUUUAUCGACUUUUCUCCCUCUGAAAUAUUUUUUAAAUUUUACUUGGACCACUUGUUUUGUUCAAAAUUCUGGAGAACAGCUAAGUAGUUUGCGUGUAGAGCUACUGUGCACUGGCAUCUUGGUCAAAACAUGUCACAGCAGCACAUGUAUGGAAGCUGCAAGCUGUAUACUGCAUGAGCCAUUGAGCAUAAAGAUGGUGCUAUUUCUUAUUUGAUUAUGAUUUUUAAUUUUUUAUUAAUUGCUGCACACCUUUCUACUAAUUGAGGGAAAAUUAGUUGUUAAUUGACAUAUUUACAUUUUCAUGUCCAGAGCAGAGAUCACUAUUUCACUAUUCUUAGCAGUUAAUCGACAUAUUUACAUUUUCAUUUGACGAAUUUACUUACAGGAAACUUAAUCGUCUCCAUUAGGAUCAGUAGGUCACCCAACUCCUGGUCACACAAGAGGAAUGAAUCACAAUAACAAUUCAGAGCCAGUACUCUUCCACAACGUCAACUAACAAAGCAGUGUCACCCUCUUGGUUAAUUGUUUCUUUAUUGCCUUGCAAGAAAACCUAAUCGGAAGACACAAGAAAUUCAUGAGGAGGCACGUAUAAAAGGAAUGAAGGACCUGUGUGAGAUUCCUUGAACCAUUCAUUUUACCACUAUUCUCAUGCGUAUUCCCAAAAGGUGCAAAUGGAAAUGGUCAAUACUCUUGCAUUAAUGCUUUUUGCAUCCACUUUAGUAUUUCUGCCCAAGAUGGAGGCACAACCAUAUACACACCCACUUUGUGUCUCCCAGUUUGCGCUUGUGAACUCUGCCUGUGCAAUGCUGCCAUACAUCCCAUUGCCACUACUGAUACCUCCUUUCCCUCCCUUGCCGCUAGCUCCUUCCCUUGAUGAAGUGAAUAGGCAUGGCCACGAUCAUAGUCCCAGUGAUAAUCAUGGCCACGAUCAUAGUUCCAGUGAUAAUCAUGGUCAUGGGCAUGAAGAAUGGCCUGGUCAGGGACAUGGGGAUGACCUCGGGCACGAGCUUGAGCAUGGGCACAAUUAUAGUCAUGGGCAUGGUCAAGGUCAAGGUCAAGGUCAAGGACAUGGACAUGGUCAAGAACACAGACAUGCACACAGGCACAAGCAUAAGCAUAGACAUGAAUCGGCUGUAAAAGAGAAAUGUUGCAGGUGGCUAAAUGAAUUAGAUGAUGAGUGUGUCUGUGACCUGUUGGUUCGGUUGCCGCCCUUCCUCUCAAGACCUUUACAUACAUUUAAUGUCUAUCUUGAUGAGACAUGCAAUGUAACUUAUGCAUGUGAAGGGCGACUGCUAAGAUCAUAACAUAAUGUUAAUUGUGAUAUUUCUCUUGUCUACCAUUUAUAUGGUUAAGGUACACUCCAUAAAUUCUGUAAUAGGAUAGCUUGUGCUCA